UGAGAUCGGCGCGUGCUUGCCAAUUCCUAUCAGAACAAGGUUAUGAGGUUAUCAAUGUACAGGGUGGCAUGUUAGCCUUUGAAGAACUUUAGACAUUAGAAUUUUCUCCUACUUGGCGUGGACUGGGUAGGGGAUUUUAU
rnacentral:sRNA from 1 species